ACAUGCAAGUCGAACGAACGGAGAUAGCUUGCUAUCAAAGUAGCGGCGGACGGGUGAGUAACACGUGAGCAAUCUGCCGUUUAAGUGGGGAAUAACGAUUGGAAACGGUCGGUAAUACCGCAUAAUAUAGCGAAACCGCAUGAUUUUGCUAUCAAAGAUUUAUCGCUUAAAGAUGAGCUCGUGUCUGAUUAGCUAGUUGGUGAGGUAACGGCUCACCAAGGCGACGAUCAGUAGCCGGACUGAGAGGUUGAACGGCCACAUUGGGACUGAGACACGGCCCAGACUCCUACGGGAGGCAGCAGUGGGGAAUAUUGCACAAUGGGCGCAAGCCUGAUGCAGCGAUGCCGCGUGAGGGAAGAAGGUUUUCGGAUUGUAAACCUCUGUUGACAGGGACGAUAAUGACGGUACCUGUUCAGAAAGCUCCGGCUAACUACGUGCCAGCCGCCGC
rnacentral:rRNA from 1 species